CGAAGAGAGAGAGAGAGAGAGAGAGAGAGAGAGAGAGAGAACAUGUCACAUCCCGACCCUUAUAUUUUUACCUUAUUUACUAGCUUGAUUAUAAUAAAAAUUUUACCGUCUUCGUCAUUGAGUUAAUAGUUUAAUUGGUCCCUAGAGGGGUUUCGGGGACGAUAAUGUGCGGAGGAUUAUUCGUAGGAGAAAAUUUCGACGACGGUAAAAAUAGUAAAUUUUAGCUAGUAAAAGGUAAUUUUUAAUCGGGUAUUAUUUUUUCGGGGUGUUUUAUUUUGUGGGAGUUGGGUAUAUUAGUGGAGUUGGACCGGUUGGAGAGGCCCAACCCAUUUCCUCUCUCUCUCUUCUUCUCUCUUUCUCUUCCCGAAUUUUUCCUCCUCCCGCUGUCGGUUUUCCAGCCAUCCUCCUGCCGUCGUCCGGCCACCAGCUGUCGCCGCUCCACCCCAGUUCGGACCCCCAUCUCCUCCUCUCCCUCCCCGGCCUAGCCCCCGAGCCGUUAGCCCGUCGGAAGAAGAGAAAACUCACCGGAGACGCCGGGAAGCUUUUCGCCGGAACUCCCUCCUCCGGCCACCAAUCCGCGCAAGCUUGGUACGGUUUUGUAACCCUCCAACCCAGCAGCCUUGCCCUAAAAGGACUCACCCUCUCUUGAGCUAGGUAAGGAGAAAUGUGGAGUUGAAAUUUCUAGGGCUUUUAGGAUGUUUUUAGUCGAUUACCCUACUUAGGCUUGGAAUUGGUGUUUGUGCUAGUUAAGAAAGUUGUAGAGCAUGAUGAGAGGAAGAUGCUGUCAAAAUUUCAUAGGUUUUGGAGGUCGCCGGAAUUGGCCUCCGACCCCUGCUGCCGGCGGCGCCGCCGGUUUGGGAGAUUUUUAGGGUUUUAAAUGUGGAAUAUUAAGGGGAUUAUAUUGAUGUGAUUUAUGGAAUUUUUGGAUGAGAUUUGGAUAGGUUUGUGAAUUUCCGAAGUUUGGUAUUUUUGGCGGUUAAUUAAUGUAGAAUCCGGCCGUAGGAUUUAAGUCGUAUUUUGGGGAGGUUGUAUUUACGACUGUCGAGGAUGAUAUUUAAGUUCGGAUCGUUCCGAUUUAAGAAUAUCGAAGUUAGGCAAUGAUGAACGUAUUUAUGGCUCUCGGGUAAUUUUGCCUAUUUUGAUUAAAUAUUGGAUUGUUAGUUGGGAAAUUAAUAUUAUAUUUGGAACAGGACGUGAGGAGGCUCGAGCAGACGAGGCCCCAGAUCAACAUCAGGCUUAGACCUAAUUUGUGAGUG
rnacentral:lncRNA from 1 species